rnacentral:rRNA from 1 species
ACUCUGGGAUAAGCGCUGGAAACGGCGUCUAAUACUGGAUAUGUGACGUGACCGCAUGGUCUGCGUCUGGAAAGAAUUUCGGUUGGGGAUGGGCUCGCGGCCUAUCAGCUUGUUGGUGAGGUAAUGGCUCACCAAGGCGUCGACGGGUAGCCGGCCUGAGAGGGUGACCGGCCACACUGGGACUGAGACACGGCCCAGACUCCUACGGGAGGCAGCAGUGGGGAAUAUUGCACAAUGGGCGCAAGCCUGAUGCAGCAACGCCGCGUGAGGGACGACGGCCUUCGGGUUGUAAACCUCUUUUAGCAGGGAAGAAGCGAAAGUGACGGUACCUGCAGAAAAAGCGCCGGCUAACUACGUGCCAGCAGCCGCGGUAAUACGUAGGGCGCAAGCGUUAUCCGGAAUUAUUGGGCGUAAAGAGCUCGUAGGCGGUUUGUCGCGUCUGCUGUGAAAUCCGGAGGCUCAACCUCCGGCCUGCAGUGGGUACGGGCAGACUAGAGUGCGGUAGGGGAGAUUGGAAUUCCUGGUGUAGCGGUGGAAUGCGCAGAUAUCAGGAGGAACACCGAUGGCGAAGGCAGAUCUCUGGGCCGUAACUGACGCUGAGGAGCGAAAGGGUGGGGAGCAAACAGGCUUAGAUACCCUGGUAGUCCACCCCGUAAACGUUGGGAACUAGUUGUGGGGUCCAUUCCACGGAUUCCGUGACGCAGCUAACGCAUUAAGUUCCCCGCCUGGGGGAGUAC